rnacentral:sRNA from 1 species
UGAAAUCAUGGGUGACAUGGGCCACAUGGUAUGG